CUCUUUUCUAGAAGAUCACAAGGAAGCUCUCUUCAAAGAAAUUGCUCAUAUGUGCACAUUCAUAUAGGAGAGAAAGGAGAGAAAGGACAAUACCUGCCUUUCAUUUAAUUUUUAUUAAGAUUUAAAACCAUGGCAGAAGCUAGUGUUUUAUAGCAACCCCAGCAGUACUAAUACUGGGGAGGGGAGAGGAGGGAGAAGCUUAGGCGAUAUAGCAAAGCAAAUAAUAAAACCUCCAACUGUUUUGUUCCACAGCCAGAAGACUGAAGGAAGGGCAUGAAUUCUUAAGUAGACCAUGCUGCCUUUUUAAUUUCUCCUCCUCCCCAUCCACCGUAAACCCAGCUGUAAACUCCACGUCCUUUUUGAUGUCAGUACCAUGCAAGGAAAAGCACGUGCUGUAGGUUGGCUGGACCACCCACGUGCAGGUAGGCAGGAACUAGCCACUGGCUGGAGGCACUAACCCAGGUUACCUUCCUUUACUUUUUGGACUUUCUAAGAACCCAGCAUAACAGAAAGCCUUUCACUGAAUUUAACUGACAUCCACCGGCUGGCUUAAACCUUCUUUGGGGGUGGCAGAUGAACACGGGGAGAAAACAGACACCCACAGAAAGAUCUUAGGAGAGCCAUUUCUCCAGGAGCGGGGGCAGAGAAAGGGAAAGUGCUCUCUGCAGACACCCCUGCACACAGAAAUUUGCUUUGGUGGAGAACAAAGGGCAAAGGCUGAAUGUAGUUUCGCUUACAGCAUGCUUUCAGGUGUAAUCAUGUUUAUUUUUUUAUUUGAUUUUUAAAACGUAUUAGAAUAAUGAUGUUUCUAUUUAAUACUGGAAACUAGCAUGCUGGUUUGUUUCUGAAAAAAAAAAAGAAAAAAGCCAGUAACUACUGCCUAGAGUACAACUAUGAAGACAGGCAUAGUAAUAUCAGUAGAGACAAACAGUUACCAAGCUUGGGUUUCAAUUGAGCCAGAUAUUUAGUCCAUCACAAAAGUGUAAUUCUUAAUCACGCAUAGCAAACUGGCUUGAUCUCAAGCAAACACUCAGCUCCCCAACUAUCCCCCAGCAGCUGGGCCCACACCCUCUGGUCAUUGCCCAAGAACAUCGCAAGACUGCUGGGAGGGAGCAGCAGCAGAGAAAAUCUCUCCCUGGUAGGCAGGGCUGGUCUUCUGAUAAACCUGCCACCUGAGCAGGGAGCAGGGCAUGAUAAUUUUCCAGCAGUCCCUAUAGGAUAGGAAGCCAAGCGUCAGAAUCAGCAGAAACAGAGCCCAGAUGAAAACCCAGUUCUGGGAAGGGGAAGUCUAGACAGAAACUUUACCCUUAAGUUUCUCAAGAUAACCAAGCGGAUCUAGCUCACACCCCUGCCUCUCCUCCACCCACUCCUGUUCCUCUUUGCUCCUCCCUAGAAUUUCUCUGACCCUGCAGCAAGCUGUUUCAGCUUACCAGACCAGAGAAGUAACUGGCCCCCGAUACAGUAGAUAAUAUGUUUUUGGGUUUUGAGGGUUUCUUUGCCUAGCCAGUGGAAUGAACCAGCCCACAGAGAUGAUCAGCGGGGCUCACACAAGGAAGCAGUCGCUGUUGCUCGGCCAGGAGCAGGAAGGGAGGGGUGGCGUGACUAAUACCAGCGAGCUUUUGGGAGGGCUCAGCCAUCCCUACAGAAAAGCAGGAAACCUCUUAGCUCUGCCACAGAUAGCCCCUCUGCUCUUGGAGCACCUCUCUCCCCUCUGGAUCAAAAGGGUUGGGCAGGCAGCCGAUAACUGCACUCUUGCUCAGUCUCUCGUCCCAGCACAGAGAAGAUCACGCAUUAAGUGGAAAACAAAGCCUCUUUCUCCAGCUCCCUCCCUUGCUGGCUGAACAUCCACUCACAGCACUGCUCCUUCUUUUUCCUGCCAAAUGCUGAGGACGUUUUUCCUCCACCCCAGAUUUUCCCAUUGUGCAACUCAUCUGGCUACUGAUGCCUGCAACAUUCCCAAGGGUUCAGAUCCCUGAUGUCAUGUCGCAGCCAUCCAGGCAAAGGCACUCCAUCAGGCUGAGCACACAGCUUGAUUUCAUUUAGCGAAUAAAAAGAAAUACAAAUUGCAUAUCCCACCUUUUAGUUCUGGAGAAUCCUUAAAAUUCCAGAGGACUGAGAAUGAAGCUGAGCAGUCACAAAGGUCAAAACAUGUGUCUGGAUCCACAAGAUUUUACCUGGGAUAUCUUCACUUGAAACUUCUGCUGGAAAUGAGCUUCAUUUGUUUCACUUCUACUCACUGUAAAAGACCUUACCUUCCUACUGAAUUACAUGAAACCAGAGCAGCGUUUCUAAGUCAAACGAGUUAAUGAUUAUGGAUCUCACCCUGCAAAAGCCAAAGUCCUUUUAUUUACAUCUGUGAAGGAGCUCCUUAUGAAGUCUUGAGUUUCUUUCGUCUGGGUGAUCCAACUUCUAUACUUGGUGUCUUUCUUGCAUGUGACACAGCUGACCCUUCUGAUGCAUGGAUCUGAGAAACUCUUAAAGAAAAUGGGAAGUCAAGAACUGAUCUGAAAUUUCUGGCCUAGGCUUUUAUCUAAAACAGAACAGCAGGAAAACUUUUCUUCCGUAGUGAAGACAACCCUGGUUUCAAUGCAAGGAAAAGAAACUUGUGCCCUUAAAGGUGUGCUUUAGUAAAACGGGCAAGUUAGGCUCGGCUUUACAAAGAGAGGCAACUCCAAGUGCUGUUUCUGCUGCUGGGGAUAAGGAAGAUGAAUCCAUAAGGAAUCUGAAGUUGCUCUCAAUCUGAACAGUUACUGCUAGGUGAACAGCAAAUGACAGUUUCUUCAUUAAGGAAGCACAUUCUUUCACAAAGAAACAGUCAAGGGCAUUUUCAAGUUAUAUCAUCAGAGAUGGACAUGACCGACUGCUGUAGGAAGGAGCUUUCAUAAGGGAGA